GUGAACAUAGAUGACAUGGGAUACACGGUCGUGAAUUUCAAUAAACCGGGUCAUCGUGAUGAGCCAUUCAUCAUGGCCUCUCAAGCAAAGCAAGUAUUUUAUAUGAUAGAUCCGGCUGACACUUCAAAGUCAGUAGUUAUUCAAGGAAAAAAGCACGGUGUUGCAGUUGCUGAUCUUGUACCAAAUGAAGAUGAGUAUGACCAAGUUGAUGAAAUCCCUGUUUUUUCUAUAUUUCAAAACACACCCGUGCAAGUAGACGAUUCAAUAGAUCAUCAUUUGCGAGGUGAUCACAAUGAAGGUGUAUGGGUUGUCCCAGAUUCGACUACAAAUAACUGAAAAAACUGAAAGUCAGUGAAGGGGCAGAUAAGGCUAAGGCUGCUGUAAUUUUGGUUUGGUUAUUUUGGUGCCGAUUUUUUUAUAUUAAGUAGUUGCUUAUUUUUCUGUUCUAUGCUAGUUGGUUUUGCGAUACUUAUCAGUUACCAGCUAAUAUUUGUUUGCUUGGUGUGAUUGAAUAUUGAAGCUUUGUUUUAAAUUUCUGUUUUAACUUUGAAUGUUAUUUUAUACAUAUCUGAAUAUGUGAAACAGCCUGUUUUUACCAUUUUAAUCCCUGCUCUGAGUUACCAGAAAUUUCCUGGUUUAUUGUUUCGUAGGGGAUUGAUAGGUUGUAAGGAUGCAGUGUUGUUUCUGUUGAUGUUCUGGUGCAGUUGUGUGUUCUGUUGUGUCUAUGGAGAUGUUUGCGAGAACCUAAACUGCAUAAGAAAACCUGUUCAUAUUACAUAGCUGCUCCUAGGGACUUCUAUUCAUAUGAGAUCUAAUUUAAAGUGUCUGGAUGUCAUAUGACCUCAUGCAAAUCAAGCAGACCUUUAACCCGACCAUCUCUUAGAUUUCUAUAUCUAUUAACUACUGAAUUGUAUUUACGUCAUCAGUGAGAAUCCCACAUUCUCUAGCAAUUGCCUUCGCAGUAUUUACCAUACAGACAGUAAUACCAGCUGACCUGCAGAUUGCAACAGAUUCCUUGACACCAGAACAUACUGAAUCUUUGAUGCCUACUAUAGCAAUGCAUGUAUCCUUUUUCAGGAAUAGAACUAUCAGUAGAGAAACUUUCUUCAUCAUUAGCAAAUUCUUCAAUUGUUGCAUUUAAAUGUUGAACUGCUGAUUUAUCAAGGAGAUAAUAACACCAUCUGAGUCAACAACCUUGUCACACGCAGCCAAAAUAAUCUCAGAAGCACCCUUACAGUGUGCCCUCAGACCUCCACUAGGAAUUUCAGAUGAAGUGUGAAACUCCUUAAAGUUGCUAGCUUCCAAAGUUUUCCCACAAAUGUGAGCUUUGACAACAGUCUUAUGAUUAGUUGUAAGUGUUCCUGUUUUAUCACUGUAGAUAGAAGUAGCAGAUCCCAUUGUCUCACAGGCAGCAAGGUUACCAACAAGAGCCUUGUCAUUCAUCAUUUUCUUCAUUGCAACCUAUCAAAUCCCCUACCAAAUCUGCUCAAAUAAGGAACUUAAUAAAUUUUUGGUUAAGGAUCUAAAUUUUGUGACCUCGUUCUUGUGAAAGAUACUAAUGAUAUCUAUGUGCUAAUAUUUCUUUUCUAACAAUCACUAUAAUGGUCAGGUUUGUUGGUAGGGCUUCUGAAAAUGACAAUCGCUCUCCUGCUAACAAUGAAAAUCCAAAAAAGUCAAGUCAAAGACCACUAGAGGGCCUUCAACAGCCAAGUACAUCAUUGUAAAAGAUGAUGGACUAUUUCCUCUACAUGGAAUGAGCAUAAUUGUGCGAUCGGAGAGUUUAAGAAUAGAUACACACAGGGUAUAUGGCACUUGCUAAGGUAAAGAUCACCAUUGCAGAUUGGAGUCAAGUUGCAGAAGAUACUAAGGAAAUAUUGUGGACUGCUGUUAAGAAAAUGUUCAUGUGUGAUGAUGAUAAGAAAGAAGCAGUACUUAAGGAUUGCAACAAAAGGUGGAAAGAAUUCAAAACAAGAUUGACACGAGAAUACUUCACCAGUGAAGAGAAAGAGAAAGAUGCAGUGGAGGACCCGUUGUCAAAAAAAAGAAAAAAAAAAUGUAGUGGAUGACCCACCAUGGGAUCUGUAUGUGGGCAUUGACGAGGAUGAUUGGAAAGAGUUUAAAAGACAACGUGAAAGUGAUGAAUUUAAGGCUAUAAGUGCAAGAAAGAGAGAUAACCAAGCUAGAAACGAGCACCCCCAUCAUUUGGGUAGUGGUGGAUAUGCAACAAGAGAAAAUCAAUACAUCAAAGAGUAGAUUAAACAACCCCUUUUGUCAGGUUCAUCAUCUGAGAAACCCAUAUUGACUCCGAGACCUCGUCAUGAGAGCUGGAUCGAGGGAAGAAAAGACAAGACGGGUAGGAUCACAAACAAAAGACUCAAGCGAUAGUAGAUUUGAUAUAUCAACUGGUAGAAAAAGAAAAGUCAGGCGAGUUUAAAUCUGUUAGAAGCCAUGACAUCUUGAUUGAAGCGCUUGGGAAUGCAGAGCAUGGUGGCCAUGUUAGGGGAGUUGGAGGGAGAGCAACUAUUACUUAAAUUUUUAAAAGGAAGAAGAGAAGUUUUAAAAUGAAGGAGUAUUUACAUAUGCGCAAGUGGAAACAUUUGCUCGUCUUGUCACAUAACAAAUAAGGGACCAAACAAGAGCUGAAAUGAGAGUUGUUGCCAUUGACAUACUCAAAUCUUGCGGUGUAAAAGUUCCUACUGAUGUUGAGGUGGAUAUGCACCCUAAAUAACCUUAGUAGUUGCCAGUCAGUCGAUGUUAUUGAUCAGCUAGUUAGUACUGAUAAGCCGGCUGAUAUUGAUCAGAUUGAUCAUGUUGAUCCUCCCCUAUUCGCAAACGAAUCUAAGGUAUUUACCCAUUUUAUUUAUUACGUAUAAUUUAAUAUUGUAAUUGUAUUUAUAUUAAUCCCACGUUUUGAAAAAUUUUACCUACAGGACGAACUUCCUUGUGACCUUAUUGU